rnacentral:rRNA from 1 species
ACGGAGGGUGCGAGCGUUAAUCGGAAUUACUGGGCGUAAAGCGCGCGUAGGCGGUUUUGUAAGUCAGAUGUGAAAUCCCCCGGCUCAACCGUGGAACUGCCUUUGUUACUGCACAACUGGAAUGCGGGAGAGGGUGAUGGAAUUCCGGGUGUAGGAGUGAAAUCCGUAGAUAUGUGGAGGAACAGCAAUGGCGAAGGCGGCCACCUGGACCGGUAUUGACGCUGAGGUGCGAAAGCGUGGGGAGCAAACAG